rnacentral:rRNA from 1 species
UACGUAGGGUGCAAGCGUUGUCCGGAAUUAUUGGGCGUAAAGAGCUCGUAGGCGGUUUGUCGCGUCUGCUGUGAAAACCCGAGGCUCAACCUCGGGCCUGCAGUGGGUACGGGCAGACUAGAGUGCGGUAGGGGAGAUUGGAAUUCCUGGUGUAGCGGUGAAAUGCGUAGAUAUCAGGAGGAACACCGGUGGCGAGGGCGGGUCUCUGGGCCGAUACUGACGCUGAGGAGCGAAAGCGUGGGGAGCGAACAGG